GCCUGAGGCGGCGGCGGCCGCCGCGGCAGAGCUCGGGCCGUGCCCGCGCCGCCGGACGGGGCUGUGGGGGCUGCCCGCGCUCCCUCCCUCCCUGUCCCUCCCUGCUCGCCUUCCCGCCCGGCCCAACCUCGGCGGGUCCCUUGGCAGGCUCCCGGGGAAGGAUUGCCCGCAAAGGUAGGGGAUUGACGUUUGCGCCGCCGCCGCCGGUGGCGGAGUUUGGUCGGGGCGGCAACCGGGCUCGGCUCCCGGCGCGCUGUCCUGGCCGCCGCUUCCCUGACCUUUGGAACUGCUCGGCGCCGGGGGAAAACAAACCAUAAUAACGCCAAGCCCAGCCUGCCGGAGCCUCCGGGUUCAAAGUGUUUCUGCCCCUACCAGCAAAAACAGAUGCAGGGUUUUUCUGGCCAAAAAAAGGAAAAAAAAAAAAACAAACACUGGAAAGACAAUUUCUUAGAAUGCAGCUCAACUCUUUCAAAAUCUUUUGUGACUGGAGCCCUAACAUGAUGCAAAUGGCAGUCUUUUAGAUCAAAAGAAAUCAGUGCACACUCUCAAAAUGCAGUAAGACCAUUCACAAAUGAAAUACAGCAACAGAACCAAAUUCCAGAAUAUACAGGUUCAAUAGACAUGUUUGUGUAUGUUAACAGCAGAGAGAUUCCACUGUUAUGUGAAGACUGGGCCUGCUUCCUACAGACAUGGUAUAAAUACAUUUAAGUUUAGGAAUCGGAACCACCACAGCAAAACUACAGCUCAGACUACAGUAUAAAAGCAGGCAGUAAAAGCUUCAUUACCAGUAGCAUUAUGCUGUCUAUAUUGUUAAAUGGGAACUCUGUCAUCAAGAUGUAGAUUCGCUUGUGAGCACUGGAUUAAAAAGCUCUGAAAUGCAGAGUAAAAUUUAAGUGCUCUGUAGAAACAUCAGGGACAAAAAAAAAAUCCUCUUUUAACAAGUUUUAAAAUGAGAGGUACUAAUGCACAGUACUGUAUUACAACAUCUUUAAGUAACAAUUUGAUAAACAUAGAUUUUAGGAUCAAAUCAGAACUUCAAUAUGAUGUCUUUAUGUAUAGUUAUCUCUAUGACUGUAUGAACUCAAAAUACAGGUCCUACAAACUGAUUUACAUGUGCACAUGAGCAGAAGAUGAAAAUGCAAAUCUAUUGUUUGUCCUGAGUAUCUGUCCAAGCGUCUCUUUAUAGAUUUAUACCCAAAAUGGGUCUUUUUCAAUAGUUUUUAUUCCAAAAUGCUUUCAAAUCUUUGCAUGUGUAUGUGUUCUCUCAUAUAAAAAUCACCCAUAAGGAAUCCCUAUACAUGUGUAAUUUGAUGCGGUCACUCUUCUGUGUUAAGUUCCCUGGAAUACACCCUCCUUAAAAUAUGACAGCUAAGCCAUUUUGGAACUUACCAAAGGACAGGUUAGCUUCAUUUCUACUUUCCUUCAUUAUCUCCUAAGAUUUGAUAUUCAGGUGCUGAAACAUGAUGGUCUCUCCUUCUGUCCUGGUCUGUCUUCCUCCAAGCCCUCCUUUUCCUGUUCCCAUGGCUUCCACUACCUUGUUAGCUUGUCAUCCCCCUGAGCUUUACACCCCCAAAUAACACGUUUUUCCUCUCCCCCUGUGAGCCAUCACUACUUUUCUCUCAACCAUCUUUCAUCCAAGCAAGCAGCUCUCUUCCCUGCCAGUGCUGCUGCUUGGAGAACCAGAAAUGCUGGGCUGUCCUUUGCAUGUUGAUAAACAAAGCAGUUGGCUUCUUCCCCUAGGGCCUGAAAGUGUCACCUCCCCUAGACUGGGGCCUGGAAUUCCAACCACUUUCCUGAGCUUGGGUUUCACAGUUACUGAUCAGUUUGGGAGAGGGGAAAAGAAAAAAAGGUAAAGUGCUUACAGCAGCAAGUAAUCUGGGGCUAAGUGUACCUUCAUUUUCUCAAGCUGUUCUGUAGAAAUAAAUAAAAAUAGUACUGUGGGGGGAAAAAAAAGCUCAAGCCCUUUAUCGGUUUACUGAAUGUUAUCUGGGAAUACAGAAUAAGAACAUGCCUGCUGUCGUGGGUUAAAAAGGGGUUUCCCCUGGAGUUGGAAAGUGGAUAACUCCAGGGGGUGGUGUUCUUGGUGUUGACCCAAUCAGUGCCCCUGCAAAAUUAAACAUAUCACAGCAGGCCGGAAAAGAAGAGUGAUUAUGUAGUUGGAGGAGAUGUAACCGUGUUUUGAGACCACGAGGAGAGAGGGGCCAGGGAGCCCCACUGGGGGCCAAGGCCCCCCAGCCCCAGCUGGGGCUGCGGAAACUCGGAACAGUGUUAAACUGGGCCGAGUACUGUGGCCAAGAGCUGGGGGAAGUUUCUUUGCUGUGAGUGGACAACCAGAGACACUUAAACGGUGGCGGAGCAGCAUUGAACAGAGAGCUGUGGCUGAAAGCCAAGAAGAUAAGAGGGAAGCAGCAAAGAUGGUAUGGAACCAAGCUGAGAGACACAGAGCUGUCCAAUGGAGAGAGACAGAGAAUCAAGCUCAGUAGAGACUGUUUGGGGUGAGACUUGGCUUUUAUUUCCCCAAGCCCUUGAGACUCCUUUUGGAAGGAGAGGGUGGACUUCCAUUUGAAGGGAGUCCUGAAAUGCAGAGAUGUCCUGGAGCUGGACCAGGAUGACCAGAAGGAAUGCAGGGGAAAGUGGCCUCCCUUUUCCCCCCGUUUGCCAUGCUGGCAGUUUGAGAUGGAGCAAAGGAGCUCUGGUAGAAUGCUUGGGGCAAAAACUGUGGCCGGAACAGAGAGAUUUCUCUGAACAAUUUUUCCUGCACUCUGUAGGCCUUGUUUGCCAUGAUUUCAGAAGUGACAAACUGUGUGAAAAUAUGUGAUGUUUAUACUUGUUAGCCAUGUGUUUAUAAUUAUAAGGUUUGAGAACAUAAUAUGUUUAUAGUAAAAAAGCCUUGAGAAACUGGAGAUAAUGAAACACCUGCAGAUCUUGGGACAAGAGGCUUCGCAUGCCAAGUAUGAUCUUAGGCUGCGUGGACAAAGAACCGGGUCCAAUAAACUAAAAGCAUGAGAGGCAUGCACAGACUGAGCUAUCCAAUCACCUUGUGAGCAUGUACCCUGAACAAACUAAACUGUAUAAAAGUAAACUGAUUUUAAUAAUAAAUUGGACAUUGCUUUGAUCACAGUGAUCAUUUGCUUUGUCUCUGUACCUCUCCAUCAACAAAAACUGAACUGAAAGCCCUAAAUGUUCUGACUCAGAAGAACUUGAACCCCCUGAGGAAGGGACUGUCAUGGGUGCCUAGUACCCCGUGAUAUGACUAGGGUGAGGUGAGCUUUGUCCCUGCUUUCGCAGUCCAUGGGAGAGAGACCUUCGGCUGGAGCCAAAGGGCCGAGGGGUGAGAGAAAAACCCCUGUAUUGUAAUGAAGAGAAAGAGAGAGAUUUUCCAGCUAUGACAGAGUGAACCUGCUGCUUGGAAAAGAUUGUGCUGCCUUGAAAGUGAUUCUCUUCUUUUCUUUCUGAACUUUUAUUUGAUCUGUAUAUAUAUAUAUUGUUUUACCAUAGGAGAGAUAGAAUUGUUGUAUAUAAUGUAUUAGAGUAUUUAUUGUUAGUAAUAAAUUUUGAUAUAAUUUCCCCA